AGGCCUGAAGAGAGAAACAAGGUCUGAUCCAUAGCCUCUGUGGCAGCUGUUGAUCAGCACUUGCCUCUCUCUUUCUCACCA
rfam:Myotis davidii contig85256, whole genome shotgun sequence.